AACGUAGGACGCAAGCGUUAUCCGGAGUUACUGGGCGUAAAGCGCGUGCAGGCGGUUCUGUCAGUCUGCUGUGAAAUCUCUCAGCUCAACUGGGAGCAGCCAUUGGAAACUACAGAACUGGAGUCUGACAGAGGUAGGCGGAAUUCCGGGUGGAGUGGUGAAAUGCGUAGAGAUCCGGAGGAACACCAGAGGCGAAGGCGGCCUACUGGGUCAGUACUGACGCUGAGCCGCGAAAGCCAGGGGAGCGAACGGG
rnacentral:rRNA from 1 species